AUUAGAGUUGAUCCAUGGCUCAGAUUGAACGCUGGCGGCAGGCCUAACACAUGCAAGUCGAGCGGUAACAGAAAGUAGCUUGCUACUUUGCUGACGAGCGGCGGACGGGUGAGUAAUGCUUGGGAACAUGCCUUGAGGUGGGGGACAACAGUUGGAAACGACUGCUAAUACCGCAUAAUGUCUACGGACCAAAGGGGGCUUCGGCUCUCGCCUUUAGAUUGGCCCAAGUGGGAUUAGCUAGUUGGUGAGGUAAUGGCUCACCAAGGCAACGAUCCCUAGCUGGUUUGAGAGGAUGAUCAGCCACACUGGAACUGAGACACGGUCCAGACUCCUACGGGAGGCAGCAGUGGGGAAUAUUGCACAAUGGGCGCAAGCCUGAUGCAGCCAUGCCGCGUGUGUGAAGAAGGCCUUCGGGUUGUAAAGCACUUUCAGUCAGGAGGAAAGGUUAGUAGUUAAUACCUGCUAGCUGUGACGUUACUGACAGAAGAAGCACCGGCUAACUCCGUGCCAGCAGCCGCGGUAAUACGGAGGGUGCGAGCGUUAAUCGGAAUUACUGGGCGUAAAGCGUACGCAGGCGGUUUGUUAAGCGAGAUGUGAAAGCCCCGGGCUCAACCUGGGAAUUGCAUUUCGAACUGGCAAACUAGAGUGUGAUAGAGGGUGGUAGAAUUUC
rnacentral:rRNA from 1 species